rnacentral:rRNA from 1 species
AUUGAACGCUGGCGGCAUGCCUUUCACAUGCAAGUCGAACGGCAGCACGGGUGCUUGCACCUGGUGGCGAGUGGCGAACGGGUGAGUAAUACAUCGGAACAUGUCCUGUAGUGGGGGAUAGCCCGGCGAAAGCCGGAUUAAUACCGCAUACGAUCUACGGAUGACAGCGGGGGACCUUCGGGCCUCGCGCUAUAGGGUUGGCCGAUGGCUGAUUAGCUAGUUGGUGGGGUAAAGGCCUACCAAGGCGACGAUCAGUAGCUGGUCUGAGAGGGCGACCAGCCACGCGGGGACGGACACGGCCCAGACUCCUACGGGAGGCAGCAGUGGGGAAUUGUGGACAAUGGGCGAAAGCCUGAUACAGCAAUGCCGCGUGUGUGAAGAAGGCCUUCGGGUUGUAAAGCACUUUUGUCCGGAAAGAAAUCCUUGGCCCUAAUACGGUCGGGGGAUGACGGUACCGGAAGAAUAAGCACCGGCUAACUACGUG